rnacentral:rRNA from 1 species
GACGAACGCUGGCGGCGUGCUUAACACAUGCAAGUCGAACGGAAAGGCCCUGCUUUUGUGGGGUGCUCGAGUGGCGAACGGGUGAGUAACACGUGAGUAACCUGCCCUUGACUUUGGGAUAACUUCAGGAAACUGGGGCUAAUACCGGAUAGGAGCUCCUGCUGCAUGGUGGGGGUUGGAAAGUUUCGGCGGUUGGGGUUGGACUCGCGGCUUAUCAGCUUGUUGGUGGGGUAGUGGCUUACCAAGGCUUUGACGGGUAGCCGGCCUGAGAGGGUGACCGGCCACAUUGGGACUGAGGUACGGGCCAGACGCCUACGGGAGGCAGCAGUGGGGAAUAUUGCACAAUGGGCGGAAGCCGUGUGCAGCAUCGCCGCGUGCGGGAUGACGGCCUUCGGGUUGUAAACCGCUUUCGCCUGUGACGAUGCGUGAGUGACGGUAAUGGGUAAAGAAGCACCGGCUAACUACGUG